CAGAGGGCCCUCACUCGGUAAUGAUCCUUCCGUAGGUGAACCUGCGGAAGGAUCAUUACCGAGUGAGGGCCCUCUGGGUCCAACCUCCCACCCGUGUUUAUUUUACCUUGUUGCUUCGGCGGGCCCGCCUUAACUGGCCGCCGGGGGGCUCACGCCCCCGGGCCCGCGCCCGCCGAAGACACCCUCGAACUCUGUCUGAAGAUUGAAGUCUGAGUGAAAAUAUAAAUUAUUUAAAACUUUCAACAACGGAUCUCUUGGUUCCGGCAUCGAUGAAGAACGCAGCGAAAUGCGAUACGUAAUGUGAAUUGCAAAUUCAGUGAAUCAUCGAGUCUUUGAACGCACAUUGCGCCCCCUGGUAUUCCGGGGGGCAUGCCUGUCCGAGCGUCAUUGCUGCCCUCAAGCCCGGCUUGUGUGUUGGGCCCCGUCCUCCGAUUUCCGGGGGACGGGCCCGAAAGGCAGCGGCGGCACCGCGUCCGGUCCUCGAGCGUAUGGGGCUUUGUCACCCGCUCUGUAGGCCCGGCCGGCGCUUGCCGAUCAACCCAAAUUUUUAUCCAGGUUGACCUCGGAUCAGGUAGGGAUACCCGCUGAACGUAAGCAUAUCAAUA
rnacentral:rRNA from 1 species